rnacentral:rRNA from 1 species
UUAAACUAUUAUAUAAAAGUUAAUUAAUUCAAUAAAAAUAAAAUAGAAGUUUAAAUAAUUUAUAUAAAAAAAUUAAUUUUAAAUGGUGAAAUAUAAAAAAUUAUAAAUUUAUAUAAUUAAAUAUAAUAUAAUUUAAGAGUUUAUAAAAUAAACUAGGAUUAGAUACCCUAUUAUAGUAAAAAAAAAAUUAAUAUUAAAGUAUUAAAUGUUAGAUCAUUAAAUUUAUAAGAUUUGGCGGUAUUUUAUACAAAUUAGGGGAACUUGUUUAGUAAUUGAUGAACCACGAUAAGAUUUACUUAAUUUAAUAUUUAUGUAUUGCUGUUUAAAAAUGUAUUUUAAGAAUAUAAAUUAUGAUUUAUAAAUAUAAAAUAAUUCAAGUCAAAAUAUAGUUUAGUUAAGAUAUAAUGAGUUACAAAAAAAUAAAUUUAUAUGAAUUUUUAUAUUUAAUUAUAAAAUGAAGGUGGAUUUAAAAGUAAAAUUAAUAAAUAAAUUAAUUUGAAAUUUUGUUUUAAAAU